UACGAAGGGGGGCUAGCGUUACUCGGAAUUACUGGGCGUAAAGGGCGCGUAGGCGGCGCUCCAAGUUAGGCGUGAAAGUCCUGGGCUCAACCUGGGAACUGCGCUUGAUACUGGAGUGCUUGAGGAUGGAAGAGGGUCGUGGAAUUCCCAGUGUAGAGGUGAAAUUCGUAGAUAUUGGGAAGAACACCGGUGGCGAAGGCGGCGACCUGGUCCAUUACUGACGCUGAGGCGCGACAGCGUGGGGAGCAAACAGG
rnacentral:rRNA from 1 species